GGAGGCAGAAGUUGCAGUGAGCCUUAAUCACGCCACUGCACUCCAGCCUAGGUGAUAGAGCCAGACCCUGUCUCCCCGAUCGCCCCACAAAAUAGAAUCAAAGUGUAGGUAAAUGAAUGUUCAUUGCACAAUUAUUUGAAUUUUUAUGUACGUUUGAAAUUUUUCCUAUUAUUUAGGGAAAAUAAAGGGAGACAUCUUCUGGAAGAAAUUGGUAUUACUGAUUGGCUCAGAAAGGCAAGCGCAAGAAAACUUUUUUUUUUUUUUUUGGUUUUUGUUGUUUUGAGACAGCGUCUCCCUCUGUUGCCCAGGCUGGAGUGCGGUGGAGAGAUCACAGGACACUGCAGCCUCAAAUUCUUGGGCUCAAGUGAUCCUCCCACCUCAGCCUCUCAAGUAGCUGGGACUACAGGCAUGUGCCUGGCUAAUUAUUUUUAUUUUUUGUAGAGGUGAGGGUUUAGCUUUGUUGCUCAGGCUGGUUUCGAACUCCUGGCUUCAAGCGAUCCUCCCACCUCAGCCUCCCAGUGUUGGGAUUACAGAUGUGAGCUACUGUGCCUGGCCAAAAUAUGGUUUAAAAAUAUGAUUUGGUAUGGAAUGAUUGCUUAUUUUUUACAUACCCCAUUGGUUCUUUCUCCUGUGCCCAAGCUGAAAAUCUUCCUUCUCUUCCACUAACUUCUUACUUAGAUUUUACUUUCUGAAUAAGAAUCAGUAAACUUUUUCUGUAAAUGGCCAGAGGGUAAAUAUUUUAGGUUCUAUGGGCUAAGGGGCAAAAUUGAAGAUUUUAUGUAGAUACUUGUAGAAAAACAGGGAAAACUAAUUUCCACAACAUUUUCACUGAUGAAAUUCAAAAUAUAAUAAUAUCGAGUACAAAUUUUUGUAAAUCAGGUAUGCUAAUCAGAAGAAUGAAAUUCUUUUUGUGGGGAGAUGGAGAAUAACAUUUUUCUUAAUUAGGUUUCAAAGUUCUUAUUCCCUAUCAAAAUCUAUUGCAAAUGUUCAUCUGUCAAUCAUGAUCUGUAAUGAAAUUUUACAGAUUUUAUCUUUGAAAAAUAUAUUUUCACACAUGUAGGCACUGCCCAAUAUGAUGUCAAUCCAAGGGCAUAUGAUUUAAAUUAAGUAUAUUAUGCUCUUGGAAAACAAUUACAGAAACAUAUUAUUCUCUUCAUAUCUGCCUUUUAGCAUGUCAGAUGAAUCAUUUCUAACUGAUGGUUAGGUGGAAGCUCUUCAGUUGCACAGUUAAAUGGAUUUUGAAAUAUGGAAAUUUCCUUUGUGUUUGCAGAGAUCCGUAAAACACCACUAAAACUGUAGUUUGAGCUUGAAAAAUAUAACCACUGCAAACUUGUGUGAGGAUAGAGAGCUUGCUUUUUGUUUUAACUUGUGACUCAAAUAAUGUUAGUUGUCAAAAUGACUUCAUCACAGUAAGUUUUGCAUGUCAGUACUGUUUUGCUUUGUAAUUUAUGUUGACUUUAUUAGGAUGCAUCAUCAAAUGAUCAAAAUUAGCAAACUAGCAAAAAUGAAUUUCAAAGUCAUUCAGUCAGUGAUGUAAAAUAAAUAAAAUCCUGAGCCCUCUGCCAACUGCAUGAACGUACCCUCAUGGCCAAGGUGACCCCAGAAAAACCUUUAAAACAGAGUUCCUGAUCAUAACAGGACAGGAGGGCAGACAUGCCUCAUUAAACUCCCUCCCUUUUGAAGUUUAGACACAACAACCGACCAGCAUUGAUGUUAAAGAAGAGAUAUCAAGACUGACAGAAAGGACUUUUUGUGGCAAAAAGGUAUCAAAAGAUAAACAAGACCCAAGGCCAUGCCAGCUAAACCAUCACUGGCCUACAGAUAAGCAAUAUUAAAACAACUGUAGCUCACCAUCAGACACUGAAUAACUGAUCCCCGUUCCACCAGCUUUGAUUGGAUAAGAGACUGAUUUCAGUAACUUUCUCCUGAUAAGAAGACCGCCAACCAUGGACUGAUUCUGGCAGGCUUUCAGAGGCUGCACACUUGCAUGACUUCGUGUCUUGAAAAGAGCUUUUGACAUAUAGGACCUAAUUAUAAUACAUUUAAGUAUUAAAUAUCCACUCCAAAGUGAA